rnacentral:tRNA from 1 species
UAGCUCAGUUGAUAGAGUGCCUGGCUUGAAAACAGAAGGACCUGAGUUCAAUCCCCAG